rnacentral:rRNA from 1 species
AGCGUACACGGUGGAUGCCCUGGCAGUCAGAGGCGAUGAAGGACGUGCUAAUCUGCGAUAAGCGUCGGUAAGGUGAUAUGAACCGUUAUAACCGGCGAUUUCCGAAUGGGGAAACCCAGUGUGAUUCGUCACACUAUCAUUAACUGAAUCCAUAGGUUAAUGAGGCGAACCGGGGGAACUGAAACAUCUAAGUACCCCGAGGAAAAGAAAUCAACCGAGAUUCCCCCAGUAGCGGCGAGCGAACGGGGAGGAGCCCAGAGCCUGAAUCAGUGUGUGUGUUAGUGGAAGCGUCUGGAAAGGCGCGCGAUACAGGGUGACAGCCCCGUACACAAAAAUGCACAUACUGUGAGCUCGAUGAGUAGGGCGGGACACGUGGUAUCCUGUCUGAAUAUGGGGGGACCAUCCUCCAAGGCUAAAUACUCCUGACUGACCGAUAGUGAACCAGUACCGUGAGGGAAAGGCGAAAAGAACCCCGGCGAGGGGAGUGAAAAAGAACCUGAAACCGUGUACGUACAAGCAGUGGGAGCCUCUUUAUGGGGUGACUGCGUACCUUUUGUAUAAUGGGUCAGCGACUUAUAUUCUGUAGCAAGGUUAACCGAAUAGGGGAGCCGAAGGGAAACCGAGUCUUAACUGGGCGUUAAGUUGCAGGGUAUAGACCCGAAACCCGGUGAUCUAGCCAUGGGCAGGUUGAAGGUUGGGUAACACUAACUGGAGGACCGAACCGACUAAUGUUGAAAAAUUAGCGGAUGACUUGUGGCUGGGGGUGAAAGGCCAAUCAAACCGGGAGAUAGCUGGUUCUCCCCGAAAGCUAUUUAGGUAGCGCCUCGUGAAUUCAUCUCCGGGGGUAGAGCACUGUUUCGGCAAGGGGGUCAUCCCGACUUACCAACCCGAUGCAAACUGCGAAUACCGGAGAAUGUUAUCACGGGAGACACACGGCGGGUGCUAACGUCCGUCGUGAAGAGGGAAACAACCCAGACCGCCAGCUAAGGUCCCAAAGUCAUGGUUAAGUGGGAAACGAUGUGGGAAGGCCCAGACAGCCAGGAUGUUGGCUUAGAAGCAGCCAUCAUUUAAAGAAAGCGUAAUAGCUCACUGGUCGAGUCGGCCUGCGCGGAAGAUGUAACGGGGCUAAACCAUGCACCGAAGCUGCGGCAGCGACACUAUGUGUUGUUGGGUAGGGGAGCGUUCUGUAAGCCUGUGAAGGUGUACUGUGAGGUAUGCUGGAGGUAUCAGAAGUGCGAAUGCUGACAUAAGUAACGAUAAAGCGGGUGAAAAGCCCGCUCGCCGGAAGACCAAGGGUUCCUGUCCAACGUUAAUCGGGGCAGGGUGAGUCGACCCCUAAGGCGAGGCCGAAAGGCGUAGUCGAUGGGAAACAGGUUAAUAUUCCUGUACUUGGUGUUACUGCGAAGGGGGGACGGAGAAGGCUAUGUUGGCCGGGCGACGGUUGUCCCGGUUUAAGCGUGUAGGCUGGUUUUCCAGGCAAAUCCGGAAAAUCAAGGCUGAGGCGUGAUGACGAGGCACUACGGUGCUGAAGCAACAAAUGCCCUGCUUCCAGGAAAAGCCUCUAAGCAUCAGGUAACAUCAAAUCGUACCCCAAACCGACACAGGUGGUCAGGUAGAGAAUACCAAGGCGCUUGAGAGAACUCGGGUGAAGGAACUAGGCAAAAUGGUGCCGUAACUUCGGGAGAAGGCACGCUGAUAUGUAGGUGAAGUCCCUCGCGGAUGGAGCUGAAAUCAGUCGAAGAUACCAGCUGGCUGCAACUGUUUAUUAAAAACACAGCACUGUGCAAACACGAAAGUGGACGUAUACGGUGUGACGCCUGCCCGGUGCCGGAAGGUUAAUUGAUGGGGUUAGCGGUAACGCGAAGCUCUUGAUCGAAGCCCCGGUAAACGGCGGCCGUAACUAUAACGGUCCUAAGGUAGCGAAAUUCCUUGUCGGGUAAGUUCCGACCUGCACGAAUGGCGUAAUGAUGGCCAGGCUGUCUCCACCCGAGACUCAGUGAAAUUGAACUCGCUGUGAAGAUGCAGUGUACCCGCGGCAAGACGGAAAGACCCCGUGAACCUUUACUAUAGCUUGACACUGAACAUUGAGCCUUGAUGUGUAGGAUAGGUGGGAGGCUUUGAAGUGUGGACGCCAGUCUGCAUGGAGCCGACCUUGAAAUACCACCCUUUAAUGUUUGAUGUUCUAACGUUGACCCGUGAUCCGGGUUGCGGACAGUGUCUGGUGGGUAGUUUGACUGGGGCGGUCUCCUCCUAAAGAGUAACGGAGGAGCACGAAGGUUGGCUAAUCCUGGUCGGACAUCAGGAGGUUAGUGCAAUGGCAUAAGCCAGCUUGACUGCGAGCGUGACGGCGCGAGCAGGUGCGAAAGCAGGUCAUAGUGAUCCGGUGGUUCUGAAUGGAAGGGCCAUCGCUCAACGGAUAAAAGGUACUCCGGGGAUAACAGGCUGAUACCGCCCAAGAGUUCAUAUCGACGGCGGUGUUUGGCACCUCGAUGUCGGCUCAUCACAUCCUGGGGCUGAAGUAGGUCCCAAGGGUAUGGCUGUUCGCCAUUUAAAGUGGUACGCGAGCUGGGUUUAGAACGUCGUGAGACAGUUCGGUCCCUAUCUGCCGUGGGCGCUGGAGAACUGAGGGGGGCUGCUCCUAGUACGAGAGGACCGGAGUGGACGCAUCACUGGUGUUCGGGUUGUCAUGCCAAUGGCACUGCCCGGUAGCUAAAUGCGGAAGAGAUAAGUGCUGAAAGCAUCUAAGCACGAAACUUGCCCCGAGAUGAGUUCU